CCUUCAGGAUCUUUGUCUCAAUUAUGCUUCUUCACUGCCGAGUGUCAACACACCAGGUCUAUUCAUCGUGCACAAAAAGACAGUCUAAGACAGCUGGGGUUGUUCAGCCUGAACAACAGAAGGCUCUGGGGAGACCUUAUAGCAGCCUUCCAGAACAUAAAGGGAACCUGCAAGAGCGCAGGAGAGAGAGUUUUCACAAGUGCCUCUUCCCAUCAGGUCAGCCAGCCAGUCUGCAGCUGAGCUCCAUGGAGAUACAGCAACAGGAGCAAAGCAGUUGUAGUUAAAAAGACCAUAAGUUACUCCUUUCUUGGAUGGUGGGUGAGUGCAGGUUGCACCAGUUUUUCAUGCCAGCAUCCCACUUUCCUUAAUGACUGUCUUAACUUCAGCCCUCACCACCACUGUCUUUCUGGCAGUUUUUAAAACACGCACAAGUACCAAGCAGAACCUUGUCAUUGCUCCAUAUUUGCAAGUGGAGCUUUGCUAAGACAGGUUUUUAUGAGUAAAAGCACUUCGUGCAUGCAGGAGGAUACAGUUAUCAGGGAUGACAAAAUCUGACUGGCCAGGACUCUUUUUUUUUUUUUUUUUUUUUUUUUUUUUUUUUUUUUUUUU